rnacentral:lncRNA from 1 species
GGUUUGCACUUAGGGUUAGGUUUAACUUAGGGUUAGGGUUGACUUAGGGUUAGGUUUGCACUUAGGGUUAGGAUUAACUUUGGAUUAGGGUUAGGGUUAGGGUUAGGGUUAGGUUUGCACUUAGGGUUAGGUUUGCACUUAGGUUUAGGUUUAACUUAGGGUUAGGGUUGACUUAGGGUUAGGUUUAACUCAGGGUUACGAUUAACUUAGGGUUAGGUUUAACUUUGGAUUAGGGUUGACUUAGGGUUAGGGUUAACUUAAGGUUAGGUUUAACUUAGUGUUAGGGUUAACUUAGGGUUAGGAUUAACUUAGGGUUAGGGUUAACUUAGGGUUAGGGUUAACUUAGGGUUAGGGUUGACUUAGNNNNNNNNNNNNNNNNNNNNCCUAACCCUAAGUUAAACCUAACCCUAAGUUAACCCUAACCCUGAGGUAACCCUAACCCUAAGUUAACCCUAACCCUAAGUCAACCCUAAUCCAAAGUUAAACCUAACCCUAAGUUAACCCUAACCCUAAGUUAACCUUAACCCCCUAACCCUAAGUUAACCCUAACCCUAAGUUAACCCUAACCCUAAGUUAACCCUAACCCUAAGUCAACCCUAAUCCAAAGUUAAACCUAACCCUAAGUUAACCCUAACCCUAAGUUAACCCUAACCUAUGUUAAUCCUAACCCUAAGUUAACCCUAACCCUAAGUUAACCCUAAUCCUAAGUUAACCCUAACCCUAAGUUAACCUUAACCCUAAGUUAACCUUAACCCUAAGUCAACCCUAAUCCAAAGUUAAACCUAACCCUAAGUUAACCCUAACCCUAAGUUAACCCUAACCCUAAGUCAACCCUAAUCCAAAGUUAAACCUAACCCUAAGUUAACCCUAACCCUGAGUUAACCCUAACCCUAAGUUAACUCUAACCCUAAGCUAACCCUAACCCUAAGUUAACCCUAACCCUAAGUUAACCCUAACCCUAAGUCAACCCUAACCCUAAGUUAAUCCUAACCCUAAGUUAAACCUAACCCUAAGUUAACCCUAACCCUAAGUUAACCCUAACCCUAAGUUAACCCUAACCCUAAGUUAACCCUACAACCCUAACCCUAAGUUAACCCUAACCCUAAGUCAACCCUAAUCCAAAGUUAAACCUAACCCUAAGUCAACACUAACCCUAAGUCAACCCUAAUCCAAAGUUAAACCUAACCCUAAGUUAACCCUAACCCUAAGUCAACCCUAAUCCAAAGUUAAACCUAACCCUAAGUUAACCCUAACCCACCCUAACCCUAAGUUAACCCUAACCCUAAGUCUAAUCCCAACCCUAAGGGCAAACCUAACCCUAAGUGCCUAAUCCAAAGUUAAAGUUAACCCUAACCCUAAGUCAACCCUAAAAGUUAACCCUAACCCUAAGUUAACCCUAACCCUAAGUUAACCCUAACCCUAAGUUAACCCUAACCCUAAGUUAACCCUAACCCUAAGUUAACCUAACCCUAAGUAAACCUAACCCUAAGUGCAAACCUAACCCUAAGUCAACCCUAACACUAAGUGAACCCUAACCCUAAGUUAACCCUAACCGUUAACCCUAACCCUAAGUCAACCCUAACACUAAGUGAACCCUAACCCUAAGUUAACCUAACCCUAAGUUAAACCUAACCCUAAGUUAAACCUAACCCUAAGUGCAAACCUAACCCUAAGUGCAAACCUAACCCUAAGUCAACUCUAAUCCUAAGUUAAACCUAACCCUAAGUUAACCCUAACCCCACGUUAACCCUAACCCUAAGUCAACCCUAACCCUAAGUUAACCCUAACCCUAAGUUAACCCUAACCCUAAGUUAACCCUAACCCUAAGUUAACCCUAACCCUAAGUUAACCCUAACCCUAAGUUAACCCUAACCCUAAGUUAACCCUAACCCUAAGUUAACCCUAACCCUAAGUUAACCCUAACCCUAAGUUAACCCUAACCCUAAGUCAACCCUAACCCUAAGUCAACCCUAAUCCAAAGUUAAACCUAACCCUAAGUUAACCCUAACCCUAAGUUAACCCUAACCCUAUGUUAAUCCUAACCCUAAGUCAACCCUAACCCUAAGUUAACCCUAACCCUAAGUUAAACCUAACCCUAAGUUAACCCUAACCCUAAGUUAACCCUAACCCUAUGUCAACCCUAACCCUAAGUCAACCCUAAUCGAAAGUUAACCCUAACCCUAAGUUAAUCCUAACCCUAAGUUAAACCUAACCCUAAGUUAACCCUAACCCUAAGUUAACCCUAACNNNNNNNNNNNNNNNNNNNNUAACUUAGGGUUAGGUUUAACUUAGGGUUAGGAAACUUAGGGUUAGGGUUAGGGUUAACUUAGGGUUAGGUUUACUUGGUUAGGGUUACUUGGGUUAGGUUAACUUAGGGUUGGUUAACUUAGGGUUAGGGUUGACUUAGGGUUAGGGUUAACUUAGGGUUAGGUUUCACUUAGGGUUAGGGUUAACUUAGGGUUAGGGUUAACUUAGGGUUAGGUUUAACUUAGGGUUAGGAUUAACUUAGGGUUAGGGUUGACUUAGGGUUAGGGUUAACUUAAGGUUAGGGUUGACUUAGGUUUAGGGUUAACUUAGGGUUAGGGUUAACUUAGGGUUAGGUUUAACUUAGGGUUAGGAUUAACUUAGGGUUAGGUUUAACUUAGGGUUAGGAUUAACUUAGGGUUAGGGUUGACUUAGGGUUAGGAUUAACUUAGGGUUAGGGUUAACUUAGGGUUAGGGUUAACUUAGGGUUAGGGUUAACUUAG